AAGAGAAGGGUCUGGCUGCAGACCAUGGGCGAGUGGAGCUCCACUCUCAAACCGGAAAUACGUCACCUCCACUUGAAAACAUCAAGAUGGCGUCGCCGGGAGUACUUCAAACUUAAACUCAGAUCAAAUGUAUAUCAAGUGUUAUCCAUCCUCAUAACACCUCCACAAAUAGAGACUGAAACUUCUGAGCACCAUCACCUUGUCUGCUAUGGGACUGUCAUAGCCCAGCAAUCAGAUGCAUCAGAACAACAAAGCACAACUGUGGUGGCCCAGGCACCUUCAGCAACAAAGAUUUAACAACACUGUCAGUCAGGAGCAUAUUUAACAGGAGCCACACUCAACUGGCUUGAUGGUGACUUCAGUGCAGUGAAGAUAUUUAAAGAGACACUAUCUAAAGUACAGAAAGCCGUACAUAAUCUCUAGUUGCAGUCGCCUACAGUGCAGCCAGCUUCACAAAGACUGUGGGGCUGGUCACCAGGAAAAUGCCCAACAAGGAGUGCUUUUGGGGUUUUACUCCUCAGAUGACCACACUGGCUACUGUAGCUGGGAUUGCUUCACAGAAAAUGGAGGUCUUGAAGAGUAAAGUGUGCAUGCAUGUGAACACAUUGUGUUAUUACAGUAACAAUUAUGGUCACUUGCAGUUC